rnacentral:rRNA from 1 species
AGCUCCAAUAGCGUAUAUUAAAGUUGUUGCAGUUAAAAAGCUCGUAGUUGGAUCUCAGGGUGAGCUCAGUUGGUCGGCCCAUGAGGUCAGAACUGGCUGUCUCUCCCUUGUUUCUGAAUCCCGGCCGGAGUUUAUUCUUCGGUUGUGGACUUCAGAUCGUUUACCUUGAAAAAUUAGAGUGUUCAAAGCGGGCGUUUGCUUGAAUACAUUAGCAUGGAAUAAUGGAAUAGGACCCUGGUCUUAUUUUGUUGGUUUUGAGGACUAGAGUAAUGAUUAAUAGGGAUAGUUGGGGGCAUUCAUAUUUAAUUGUCAGAGGUGAAAUUCUUGGAUUUAUGAAAGAUGAACUUCUGCGAAAGCAUUUGCCAAGGAUGUUUUCA